rnacentral:rRNA from 1 species
UGCCAGUCGAGGGGCAGCACUUCGGGUGGCGACCGGCGCACGGGUGAGUAACGCGUAUGCAACCUACCUUCUACAGGGGGAUAACCUCUCGAAAGAGAGACUAAUACCGCAUAAAACAGGGGCACCGCAUGGUGAUAUUUGUUAAAGAUUUAUUGGUAGAAGAUGGGCAUGCGUAACAUUAGCUUGUUGGUGAGGUAACGGCUCACCAAGGCGACGAUGUUUAGGGGUUCUGAGAGGAAGGUCCCCCACACUGGUACUGAGACACGGACCAGACUCCUACGGGAGGCAGCAGUGAGGAAUAUUGGUCAAUGGACGAAAGUCUGAACCAGCCAAGUCGCGUGAAGGACGAAGGUAUUAUGCAUUGUAAACUUCUUUUUCAGGGGAAUAAAGUGAGGCUUGCGAGCCUUUUUGCAAGUACCCUGCGAAUAAGGAUCGGCUAACUCCGUGCCAGCAGCCGCGGUAAUACGGAGGAUCCGAGCGUUAUCCGGAUUUAUUGGGUUUAAAGGGUGCGUAGGCGGAGAUUUAAGUCAGUGGUGAAAGUUUAGGGCUCAACCUUAAAAUUGCCAUUGAAACUGGAUUUCUUGAGUACGGUAGAGGUAGGCGGAAUUUGUGGUGUAGCGGUGAAAUGCUUAGAUAUCACGAAGAACUCCGAUUGCGAAGGCAGCUUACCGGACCGUAACUGACGCUGAGGCACGAAAGUGUGGGGAUCAAACAGGAUUAGAUACCCUGGUAGUCCACACUGUAAACGAUGAAUGCUAGAUGUUGGCGAUAUACAGUCAGUGUCACAGAGAAAUCGUUAAGCAUUCCACCUGGGGAGUACGCC